UGGUGUCCGCGUCUCCCUUCUUCGACAAAAUGGUGACCCCGACGUCGCCCUCGCGCUGCGCUUGAAGAGAGAGCGGGGGAGGACGCGCCAUCGGUCGGUGAAGUAGCGUUGGGACCCGAGGCAACCGGGCCGGUGCCGAACGACGCAGGGAAGGCACCCUCGAGAGCUACAUAGGUGGUCUUGAGCCAUACGUGCUGCCGGAGCCGGAGAGUUGCAACAGCGCUGACGACAGAAUGGACAGGCAAGCAGCAUAUGAUUUGUUUACUGCACAUUUGGAAAAGAGGGGGGUCAGGGAUAUAGAUUUCAAAAAAGAUCUUCCGGGGCUCUUAGCUUGGGGGUAUGCUAAGGGUGUUUUUACUAAUCCACAUACAGUGCAUGAGUUGUCUGAGUGGCGCAAGCUAGGAGAUAUAUUGUGGGAGGCGGUUUUAGAGGAUGAUAAGACAGCUAAAAAACUAGGAAAGAUAUGGAGGGCUGUACAUAAUGUGCUUUUGAAACAACAAGCUGAAAAACGAGCAGCUGAACAGGCAGUAGAGGCAUAUAAGAGAAAUGCCCAAUAUGGACAUCCUAAUGAACCUUUAGCACCGGGUGUAUCAACGGUGAUUUUGCCUGCCCCGGAGGGGACCCCUGCUUGGCCCUCUGCACCCCCCUUUGAGGGGCAGUCAGAGGAAGUUAAAGAAUCACCGGAGGCUGCAAUGUACCUGCCGCCCCAGUCUCCAAAGCCGAAACCCUCAGGGGCUGCGGCCUCGUCCUUUCACGAGCCAGAACCUGUCCCUGGGGCACAAAGUGACCUGUGGGAGGAGAUGGCAAGGCAAAGAAGGGAGGCUUGGAGCGCCCUUGCUAAGCAUGGGCUGGAGACGGGAGAUGAGGCAGAGAUGGAAGCAGCACGAUCUAUGUCCUUUCCGGUGGUUUAUACUCCAGCAGUGGACCAGAAUGGGCAGCAGGUACAAAUGGGAACGUAUACACCCUUGGAUUGGAAAUUAUUAUCGCAGUUACGUCAAACCGUAAGCCAAUUUGGAUUUAAAAGUGAACCAGCUAAACAGAUGCUUGACUAUUUGUUUAACACGCAAUUGCUACUGCCAAAUGAUUUAAGAGCUGUAACAAAAUUAAUUUUUACACAGCAUCAGCAAUUGUUGUUCAAUGCACAUUGGCAAGCUGCAGUAAUGGAAUGCCUGGCAGUUCAGAGACAUCCGGGAGAUCCCUUACACGGGGUCACUUUAGAAGAACUGAUGGGCUUGGGUCCGUACCUUAGGACGGAAGCUCAAAUGCUUGUUGGACCUAAUAAGGUUAGGGAAGCUAUGCGAUUAGUAAGAGAAGCCAUAGACCGAGUGAAAGACAGUAGCGGGGUGCCUAUGUAUAUGGGAAUUAAACAAGGAAGGGAACAAUCUUUUGGGGAAUUCAUAGAUCAGGUCGCUGCUGCCAUAGAUAAGGCUGGGGUUCCCGACUAUAUGAAAGGAGCGCUGUUAAAACAGUGUGCUCUGCAGAACAGCAAUGAGACUACUAGAAGGGUUUUGUCAACUUUGAGGGCUAACUGGUCAAUUGAGGAAGCUUUAGAAAGAAUGGCCCUUCAGCCUACUGGGCCACAAGCCUUUUUAGUUAAUGCUAUAAAGGAAAUUGGNNNNNNNNNNNNNNNNNNNNNNNNNNNNNNNNNNNNNNNNNNNNNNNNNNNNNNNNNNNNNNNNNNNNNNNNNNNNNNNNNNNNNNNNNNNNNNNNNNNNGGGCCACAAGCCUUUUUAGUUAAUGCUAUAAAGGAAAUUGGAUUAGGGCUGCAGAAACAGGCUGAGUCUGCUCAAACACAAGUGUUAGCUGCUCUUGCUCCGCUCCGUGCUUCUGCUGCAGCGCCGGCAACCACAGGGGAUCGCAAGCCCCCCUCUGUCCGAUGCUAUCGAUGUGGAGGAGGAGGUCACAUACGCCGAGAAUGUCGAUCCACAGGAGUCUGGUGCCAGAAUUGCCAAUCUAGCACGCACAAUACAACUGCUUGCCGCCGCAGGUCGGGAAACUCUCGGCGGAGCGCGAACGGCAGCCGCGCACCGACACAAAUCGCUGCCGUAACAUCAGCGCCACCUUCAGCAUGCAGCCAGCCACAACAGGGAGCCUGGGACUUGACUUGGCAGCAGCAGUAACUACAACUUUAAUGACCUCGCGUCCUGCUAAAGUUCCAACAGGAGUUUAUGGUCCUAUAAAAAUUAAUGGACAGACAUAUGGAGGAUUACUACUAGGACGCUCCUCGGUCACCAUAAUGGGAUUGUUUGUGUUACCCGGGAUUAUCGAUGCAGAUUACACUGGGGAAUUACAAAUUAUGGUUCACACUCCGUUUCCCCCUGUGACUAUUGAAAAAGGGCAGCGCAUUGCUCAGUUGAUUCCGCUACCCCAGGUUACCAAAGGAAUGCCGGCAUUGG
ensembl:lncRNA